rnacentral:rRNA from 1 species
UACGUAGGUGGCAAGCGUUGUCCGGAUUUACUGGGCGUAAAGGAUGCGUAGGCGGAUACUUAAGUCAGAUGUGAAAAUCCCGGGCUUAACUUGGGAACUGCAUUUGAAACUGGGUAUCUAGAGUGCGGGAGAGGAAAGUGGAAUUCCUAGUGUAGCGGUGAAAUGCGUAGAGAUUAGGAAGAACACCAGUGGCGAAGGCGACUUUCUGGACCGUAACUGACGCUGAGGCAUGAAAGCGUGGGGGAGCAAACAGG